rnacentral:rRNA from 1 species
UACGAAGGGGGCUAGCGUUGUUCGGAAUUACUGGGCGUAAAGCGUGCGCAGGCGGUCUGCUAAGAGAGGUGUGAAAUCCCCGGGCUUAACCUGGGAACUGCGCUUCUAACUGGCAGGCUUGAGUGUGGCAGAGGGGGGUGGAAUUCCACGUGUAGCAGUGAAAUGCGUAGAGAUGUGGAGGAACACCGAUGGCGAAGGCAGCCCCCUGGGCUAACACUGACGCUCAUGCACGAAAGCGUGGGGAGCAAACAGG